CCUACGGGAGGCAGCAGUGGGGAAUAUUGGGCAAUGGGCGCAAGCCUGACCCAGCAACGCCGCGUGAAGGAAGAAGGCCCUCGGGUUGUAAACUUCUUUUAUUCGGGACGAAACAAAUGACGGUACCGAAUGAAUAAGCCAUGGCCAACUACGUGCCAGCAGCUGCGGUAAUACGAAGGUGGCAAGCGUUAUCCGGAUUUACUGGGUGUAAAGGGCGUGUUGGGGGGAGAGCAAGCCAGAGGUGAAAUUCCAGGGCUCAACCCUGGAACUGGGAUUGAAACUGUUCCUCUUGAGUGGUAGAGAGGCAGGCGGAAUGCGGGGUGUAGCGGUGAAAUGCAUAGAUAUAAGGCAGAACACCGGUGGCGAAGGCAGCCUGCUGGACAUUAACUGACGCUGAAGCGCGAAAGCGUGGGGAGCGAACAGGAUUAGAUACCCCGGUAGUC
rnacentral:rRNA from 1 species